rnacentral:rRNA from 1 species
GGUAGGGGGAGGUGACGUCAAGUACACGCAUGGCCCUUAGUCCUGGGCUACACACACGCUACAAUGGAUGGUACAAAGGGUCGCCAACCCGCGAGGGGGAGCCAAUCCCAUAAAGCCAUUCGUAGUCCGGAUCGCAGUCUGCAACUCGACUGCGUGAAGUCGGAAUCGCUAGUAAUCGUGGAUCAGAAUGUCACGGUGAAUACGUUCCCGGGUCUU